AAUCAACGCUGGCGGCGUGCCUCAGACAUGCAAGUCGAACGAUUAAAGCUCUCUUCGGAGAGUGUAUAGAGUGGCGCACGGGUGAGUAACACGUAAGUAAUCUACCCUCGAGUGGGGAAUAACAACCGGAAACGGUUGCUAAUACCGCAUAAUGCAGCGGCACCGCAAGGUGACAGUUGUUAAAGAUUUAUCGCUUGAGGAGGAGCUUGCGGCAGAUUAGCUAGUUGGUAGGGUAACGGCUUACCAAGGCUACGAUCUGUAACCGGUCUAAGAGGACGGUCGGUCACACUGACACUGAAUAACGGGUCAGACUCCUACGGGAGGCAGCAGUCGGGAAUUUUGGGCAAUGGGCGAAAGCCUGACCCAGCAACGCCGCGUGAAGGAUGAAGUAUUUCGGUAUGUAAACUUCAAAAGAAUAGGAAGAAUUAAUGACGGUACUAUUAUAAGGUCCGGCUAACUACGUGCCAGCAGCCGCGGUAAU
rnacentral:rRNA from 1 species